rnacentral:lncRNA from 1 species
CUCUGAGGGAGUCAGUGUGCUCUCAGAAUCCAGUCCUGUGGGCAAGCAGGAGGCGUAGUCUUUCUUCCCUUCCUUUCCCUAAGCUCACCAAGCUGUUCUUUUGAAACUUAUGACCAUCGCCCCAUCAAACCUUCUUCAACUUAAAGUCCAGGGCUGACCUGGGAGCCCUGCUUUGUUGGUAACGGGGAACACAAAAGCUGAAAAUGCCUGGAAGAGUGUGGCUUCCUGUAGCUGCAGGCCAGAGAUGUAACACCUGGGGCACUGGGUGGACCACAGAAAUAUGUUUGAUGAGAAAACUGCUAUUCUCCAUUUCUCUUCGUUGUUCUGAGCCAGAUUCCUGUCAUACAAGGAAGAAAGACAAACCUCUUCCCACGAGGAGCUUACAGUCAGAUGGAGUAGAGUGAGCCAGACCGGAGGCACGAGGAGUAGUGAGAAGGCUGCUGUGGGAGAGGGCGGAAGAUAUGAAGAGGACUUCCUCACAGAGAAUGCCAGCUCGUAAAGUAGGAGAACUAGCAAAAUCACCAUUUUACAACCCCGAUUAAGGUGAUGCUGGAGAAUUGGGGAAUGAAGUGUCUUGAUAUCGUCAACCUACUUUCAAAUGGCUCCAGAAAAUGUUUAAGAUGUUAAGGAGAGACUGUAACAGGAGUAACUCGCGGACUCUUCCGAUGAUUUCUACUGCCCUUGGAAACCUCCGUAUCACUCCUGCAAUUCCUAACACCUGAUUCUUCUCGUCUCAGAGCAAGAGGGGAGAAGAGCCUUGGCUCAAGGUUGAAGCGGGGCUGGGCAUGUCCUAGGAACACGGCUCCUCCGCGGGGAAUGCGCCUGAGAGCUGGGCUGUCAGUUGGCAGGGAUGUUGUUAUCAGCACUCUGCUGUUCAACUUCACUAUUUGUUCCAAAAAUGGUCAUUGUGAUAACUCAGAAUUAAAUCUCUGGCUGUCCCUUUAACCAUGUGGUUAGCGGCCUGAAUUGCUUAUCCCCAGAGCUGCCUGUGGGUCAUGGGGAGAAAAAACAAGGACAGUGUGUUUCCUUGACUCAGACAAGCUUGCUCCAGGCCAAUGUGGUGACACACUUGUCUCCCUUCCAUUAUCUGGGGCCUGACCCCAGCAUGACACAUUUCCCCGGCCUGAGGCUAGAGGUGUCAGACAGAUCCCGGCUCCAAACAGAAGGUCA